rnacentral:rRNA from 1 species
ACUGCUCAGUAACACGUGGACAACCUGCCCUUAGGACGGGGAUAAACCCGGGAAACUGGGUAUAAUACCCGAUAGGUCUCGACUGCUGGAAUGCAUCGAGAUCUAAAGCUCCGGCGCCUAAGGAUGGGUCUGCGGCCUAUCAGGUAGUAGUGGGUGUAGUGUACCUACUAGCCUACGACGGGUACGGGUUGUGAGAGCAAGAGCCCGGAGAUGGAUUCUGAGACACGAAUCCAGGCCCUACGGGGUGCAGCAGGCGCGAAAACUUUACAAUGCUGGCAACAGCGAUAAGGGAACCUCGAGUGCCAGGUUACAAAUCUGGCUGUCGUGAUGCCUAAAAAGCAUUGCACAGCAAGGGCCGGGCAAGACCGGUGCCAGCCGCCGCGGUAACACCGGCGGCUCGAGUGGUAACCGUUAUUAUUGGGUCUAAAGGGUCUGUAGCCGGCCGGAUAAGUCCCUUGAGAAAUCUGACAGCUUAACUGUCAGGCUUUCAGGAGAUACUGUCUGGCUCGAGGCCGGGAGAGGUGAGAGGUACUUCAGGGGUAGGGGUGAAAUCUUGUAAUCCUUGAAGGACCACCAGUGGCGAAGGCGUCUCACCAGAACGGACCUGACGGCAAGGGACGAAAGCUAGGGGCACGAACCGGAUUAGAUACCCGGGUAGUCCUAGCCGUAAACGAUACUCGCUAGGUGUCGGCCACGGUGCGACCGUUGUCGGUGCCGUAGGGAAGCCGUGAAGCGAGCCACCUGGGAAGUACGGCCGCAAGGCUGAAACUUAAAGGAAUUGGCGGGGGAGCA